rnacentral:rRNA from 1 species
AUUGAACGCUGGCGGCAUGCCUAACACAUGCAAGUCGGACGAGUGGCGAACGGGUGAGUAACGUAUCGGAACGUACCGAGUAAUGGGGGAUAACUGCUGGAAAGGGUAGCUAAUACCGCAUAUCAUUCGAUGGGCCGAUGUCUGAUUAGCUGGUUGGUGGGGUAAAGGCCUACCAAGGCGACGAUCCCUAGCGGGUCUGAGAGGAUGAUCCGCCACACUGGGACUGAGACACGGCCCAGACUCCUACGGGAGGCAGCAGUGGGGAAUAUUGGACAAUGGGCGCAAGCCUGAUGCAGCCAUGCCGCGUGUCUGAAGAAGGCCUUCGGGUUGUAAAGUACUUUUGUCAGGGAAGCGGUACCUGAAGAAUAAGCACCGGCUAACUACGUGCCAGCAGCCGCGGUAAUAC